AACGAACGCUGGCGGCAUGCCUAACACAUGCAAGUCGAACGAGACCUUCGGGUCUAGUGGCGCACGGGUGCGUAACGCGUGGGAACCUGCCCUUAUGUUCGGAAUAACUCCCCGAAAGGGGUGCUAAUACCGGAUAAUGUCUUCGGACCAAAGAUUUAUCGCCUUUGGAUGGGCCCGCGUUGGAUUAGCUAGUUGGUAGGGUAAAAGCCUACCAAGGCGACGAUCCAUAGCUGGUCUGAGAGGAUGAUCAGCCACACUGGGACUGAGACACGGCCCAGACUCCUACGGGAGGCAGCAGUGGGGAAUAUUGGACAAUGGGCGAAAGCCUGAUCCAGCAAUGCCGCGUGAGUGAUGAAGGCCUUAGGGUUGUAAAGCUCUUUUACCCGGGAUGAUAAUGACAGUACCGGGAGAAUAAGCGCCGGCUAACUCCGUG
rnacentral:rRNA from 1 species